rnacentral:rRNA from 1 species
CCUACGGGAGGCAGCAGUGAGGAAUAUUGCGCAAUGGGGGCAACCCUGACGCAGCGACGCCGCGUGAGUGAGGAAGGCCUUCGGGUCGUAAAGCUCUGUCAAGAGGAAAGAAGUGCAUAGCGGUUAAUACCCGUUAUGUUUGACGGUACCUCUAAAGGAAGCACCGGCUAACUCCGUGCCAGCAGCCGCGGUAAU